GCCACAUAGGCGCCACCUCAGCCAAAACCAGAGUCAAAUACUGCCGAGGGACCUUAUUUAAACGGUUUUGCGAUCAAGGGACGAAAAUCAGACUAGGCGACAAAUAGAGGGACCCAAAGUGAACUUAUUCGAAACCAAGAACCCCCUCCUCGUUCGUCUGGCCCAAAACAAGGCCUAUCGUUGUGUAUUUGUUAGCGACAGCCCAAUUGAGAGGAGAGGAGGAGUCGCGCACGUCGACACGGCACCGGCAUCGUUUCAUCUCCCAAAAUCAAGCGCGUGAUUGUUUCUUUCUCCUCGUCCGUCGCCGCUCCCGCUCGCCUGCUCCGCGCGACUCCGCGACCGGCGACCAAGCUUGACGUCUCCGACUCCAUCCCGUCGUGCGCCCGCGGACCGCCACAGCCGUGCUCAACGCGGCGACCGCCCGGCGCUCGCCUGCCGACGCCGCCCGUUUCCCAUGCACUCCGGCGACUCCUAAACCUAUGACAGCCCCUAAAUCCUCUCAUCCAAUCUGCCACUCGCCAUGCAGGGCAGUCUGGGAGUAGGAAUGUAGGACGGCCGGCGGGCAGCGGCAGGCGGCAGCAGCAAGCUGGCCGGCAAUGGCUGGAUCCAUGAGCUCGCCGGCUUGCCCUCAUUGACUCGUCAAAUCCGCUAGUGACCACAAGUGCUUCUAUCAAAAAUCACAUCCGACAGCCACCACUUACAGCAAUUGGUUUAUCGGUUCAUGAAUAUAACCACAAAUAUGGUAAAGAUUAAUAGGUCAUUGUUGCAUGGAGGAAUGAAGAUGAUGACAUCACAUUUUGCAUGAUAUAUUCAUUUGUUUUGGAUAUGGACAAGAUGAGCACCCUCGCUGAAGAUCAGUCUCUGGAGAAGUAUGAUCACCCUCGCUGCAGUUGGCAUAUAUUAUUUGGCACGAGGACUGAACUAGACAACUUGCAUCAUGCACGCACAGCAAAUGAUUUUAAAGAUGCUUGGACGGCCCUCGUCAAUGAAUAUGGUCUUCAAGAGGAGAAUGCAUACCUCCAAAAGGUUUGGAGAAAAUAAUAGACGAUGAAACGGAGCCAAAGGAUUCACAAGUAAUUUAUUUUUAAUCUAUCUAUGUUUCAUGUUCAGCACCAGUUCUGAUUUUUUUUUCACUUUUGCUGUCAACAUUUACACUUGAUUGUUCAUAGGAGAUGGAUAUAGACAUCUGUAAAGAUGUCAAGAUGGAGGUGGAUCCUCCUAAGUUGUAAAGAUGUCAGGAUGGAGGUGAAUCCUCCUAAGUUGCUCAUUUCUCACCCUAGUGAUCAUUUUGAAGGACAUGUUGAUGUCAAAAUAGGUCCUCAAAAUGCUGAUAACCUAGACGCGCCAACUGUCUGAAGCAUAAACAUGAGGAGACAAGCAAGUAACAACCUGAGAACACCUCUUGGAGUGUGUGACAGUAUUGCUAGCCAUUGGACAAAUAAGCAGCCAGUCUGGUUUUUUUAUAUUUAUGUAUCAUAUCCGUACUGUAAUAAUCAACUAGUCACA